UCAGACGAUGCGUCAUGCAUAUCAAUAAGCGGAGGAAAAGAAACUAACAAGGAUUCCCUUAGUAACGGCGAGCUGAAGCGGGAAGAGCUCAAAUUUGAAAUCUUCAAGGUUUUACCUUGACGAAUUGUAGUUUAAAGAAGUGUUUUCUGCUGAAGUUUUGGUAAAAGUUCUUUGGAAUAGGACAUCAUAGAGGGUGAGAAUCCCGUAUUUGACCAUUAUUUUCAGCUUUGUGAUACACUUUCAAAGAGUCGGAUUGUUUGGGAAUGCAGUCCAAAAUGGGUGGUAAAUUUCAUCUAAAGCUAAAUAUUGGCGAGAGACCGAUAGCGAACAAGUACCGUGAGGGAAAGAUGAAAAGAACUUUGAAAAGAGAGUUAAACAGUACGUGAAAUUGUCAAAAGGGAAGCGUUUGACACCAGUGUUGUUUUCUCGAAAAUCAAUUAAAAAUGGCUCGAUUUUGUAUUGCUGAGACCUUAAAAGCUCACUGUACAUUUUUCGUGUCUUUUUUAAUGCACUUUUCGUUUAACAAGUCAACAUCAGUUUCUUUUGUCGUAAAAGGGUCAUUGGAAGGUGGCUUUCUUUUCGGAGAAAGUGUUUAUAGCCUUUGGCCUCUGCAAUCGGAGAGACUGAGGUCUGCAGCGUAGACUCUUCGGGGUUAGAUACAUUUGUGCUAAGUUAUAGCUUUUUAUAGACAACUUGUUGACUAUAAUUAGUCUUGUAGCUUACUCGCUUAUGCUAUUUUACCUACGCUUAGGAUGUUGAACUACUGAGACAUAG
rnacentral:rRNA from 1 species